AGGGUUUGAUCAUGGCUCAGGACGAACGCUGGCGGCGUGCUUAACACAUGCAAGUCGAGCGAUGAAGUUUCUUCGGAAAUGAAUUAGCGGCGAACGGGUGAGGAACACGUGAAGAAUCUGCCCUCCACUUUGGGAUAACACCGGGAAACCGGUGCUAAUACCGGAUAUUGAAACAUAAGUGGCAUCACUGAGUUUUGAAAGAAUUUCGGUGGAGGAUGACUUCGCGGCCUAUCAGCUAGUUGGUGAGGUAAUGGCUCACCAAGGCAACGACGGGUAGCCGGCCUGAGAGGGCGACCGGCCACACUGGGACUGAGACACGGCCCAGACUCCUACGGGAGGCAGCAGUGGGGAAUAUUGGGCAAUGGAGGAAACUCUGACCCAGCGACGCCGCGUGCGGGAUGAAGGCCUUCGGGUUGUAAACCGCUUUCAUUAGGGAAGAAGCGAAAAGUGACGGUACCUACAAAAGAAGCACCGGCUAACUAUGUGCCAGCAGCCGCGGUAAUACA
rnacentral:rRNA from 1 species